AGGACGAACGCUGGCGGCGUGCUUAACACAUGCAAGUCGAGCGGUAAGGCCCUUUCGGGGGUACACGAGCGGCGAACGGGUGAGUAACACGUGGGUGACCUGCCCUCAGCUCUGGGAUAAGCCCGGGAAACUGGGUCUAAUACCGGAUAUGACCACAUGUCGCAUGGUGUGUGGUGGAAAGUUUUUUCGGCUGGGGAUGGGCCCGCGGCCUAUCAGCUUGUUGGUGGGGUGAUGGCCUACCAAGGCGACGACGGGUA
rnacentral:rRNA from 1 species